rnacentral:rRNA from 1 species
UACGUAGGGGGCAAGCGUUGUCCGGAAUCAUUGGGCGUAAAGAGCGUGUAGGCGGGCUUCUAAGUCAGAUGUGAAAUCCCAUGGCUCAACCAUGGAAUUGCAUUUGAAACUGGAGGUCUUGAGUGUGGGAGAGAUUGGUAGAAUACCUAGUGUAGUGGUGAAAUACGUAGAUAAUUAGGUGGAAUACCGGAGGCGAAGGCGCAA